rnacentral:rRNA from 1 species
UACGGAGGGGACUAGCGUUGUUCGGAAUUACUGGGCGUAAAGCGCACGUAGGCGGAUUUGUAAGUCAGGGGUGAAAUCCCGGGGCUCAACCUCGGAACUGCCUUUGAUACUGCGAGUCUUGAGUCCGAUAGAGGUGGGUGGAAUUCCUAGUGUAGAGGUGAAAUUCGUAGAUAUUAGGAAGAACACCGGUGGCGAAGGCGGCCCACUGGAUCGGUACUGACGCUGAGGUGCGAAAGCGUGGGGAGCAAACAGG